CAUGUGAUGUAUAUUGAUACAUUAUAAGUUGUACUUAGUACUAAAACUUUAUUUUCGUAAGUUUGUCCGUUCUUACUGCGUUUUUUUUGUGAGUUUUGCCUAAUUAUUAAAAUAACUACAGGUAAAAUUAAAAAAACGACCCUUACUCGUCAUCAAGACACCAACUAAAUUAAAAUUGAAACAAAAUAGGUUUAUUGUUGUUUAUCA